UCAGACGAUGCGUCAUGCAUAUCAAUAAGCGGAGGAAAAGAAACUAACAAGGAUUCCCCUAGUAACGGCGAGUGAAGCGGGAAGAGCUCAAAUUUGAAAUCUUAAAGGGUUUCCCUUUACGAAUUGUAGUUUAAAGAAGUGUUUUCUGUUGAGGUUUUGGUAAAAGUUCUUUGGAAUAGGACAUCAUAGAGGGUGAGAAUCCCGUAUUUGACCUUUACUUUCAACUUUGUGAUACACUUUCAAAGAGUCGGAUUGUUUGGGAAUGCAGUCCAAAAUGGGUGGUAAAUUUCAUCUAAAGCUAAAUAUUGGCGAGAGACCGAUAGCGAACAAGUACCGUGAGGGAAAGAUGAAAAGAACUUUGAAAAGAGAGUUAAACAGUACGUGAAAUUGUCAAAAGGGAAGCGUUUGACACCAGUGUUGUUUUUCUGAAAAUCAAUUAAAGAACUGUUUAUGCUAAGCUGUUUAGACUUUAUCAGCUAAUCUGUUUAGUUUUGAGCUUUUCUUUAAUGCACUUUUCAGUUAACAAGUCAACAUCAAUUUCUUUUGCUGUAAAAAAGCUUGAGGAAGGUGGCUUGAGAUUUGUCUUAAGUGUUUAUAGCCUCUUGCCUAUGCAGUCGGAGAGAUUGAGGUCUGCAGCGUAGAUCCUUCGGGGCUAAAUGCAUUUGUGCUAAGUUAUAGCAUUUUAUAGACAACUUGUUGACUAUGAUUUGUCUUGUAGCUUACUCGCUUAUGUUAUUUUACCUACGCUUAGGAUGUUGAGCGCAUGUCUCUCUCU
rnacentral:rRNA from 1 species